rnacentral:tRNA from 1 species
GAGGGUACAGCUCAAUGGUAGAGUGUGUGCUUUGCACCCAUGAGGCUCUGGGUUCAAUCCCCAGUACCUCCA